rnacentral:rRNA from 1 species
UACAGAGGGUGCGAGCGUUGUCCGGAAUCACUGGGCGUAAAGGGCGCGUAGGCGGCUGGCUAAGCGGGUGGUGAAAGCCCGGGGCUCAACCCCGGGUCGGCCAUGCGAACUGGUCAGCUGGAGCACGGUAGAGGCACAUGGAAUUCCGGGUGUAGCGGUGGAAUGCGUAGAGAUCCGGAAGAACAUCGGUGGCGAAGGCGCUCUGCUGGACCAUAACUGACACUCAGGGACGAAAGCUAGGGGAGCGAAUGGG